GAACCAGGGGUUCCGCCCCGGGGACAGCGGCGAACGGGUGAGUAACACGUGGGUAAUCUGCCCUCGGUACUGGGAUAGCCCGGGGAAACCCGGAUUAAUACCGGAUGGCCCUUCGAGUUUUCGAAUUCGAAGGAAAAGGUAGCUUCGGCCUCCGACCGAGGAUGAGCCCGCGGCGGAUUAGCUUGUUGGUGGGGUAACGGCCUACCAAGGCGACGAUCCGUAGCUGGUCUGAGAGGACGAUCAGCCACACUGGGACUGAGACACGGCCCAGACUCCUACGGGAGGCAGCAGUGGGGAAUCUUGCCCAAUGGGCGAAAGCCUGAGGCAGCGACGCCGCGUGCGGGAAGAAGGCCUUCGGGUUGUAAACCGCUUUCAGGAGGGACGAAGCCACUCGGGUUAAUAGCCCAGAGGGUGACGGUACCUCCAGAAGAAGCCCCGGCUAACUACGUGCCAGCAGCCGCGGUAAUACGUAGGGGGCAAGCGUUGUCCGGAUUUAUUGGGCGUAAAGAGCGUGUAGGCGGCUAGGUAGGUCCGUUGUGAAAACUCGAGGCUCAACCUCGAGACGUCGAUGGAAACCAUCUAGCUAGAGUCCGGAAGAGGAGAGUGGAAUUCCUGGUGUAGCGGUGAAAUGCGCAGAUAUCAGGAAGAACACCCGUGGCGAAGGCGGCUCUCUGGGACGUGACUGACGCUGAGACGCGAAAGCGUGGGGAGCGAACAGGAUUAGAUACCCUGGUAGUCCACGCCGUAAACGAUGGGUGCUAGGUGUGGGCGGUGUCGACUCCG
rnacentral:rRNA from 1 species